AGCGAACGUUUGCGGCGGGCUUAACACAUGCAAGUCGAACGAAAAUCCCUUCGGGGAGGAAAGUGGCGCACGGGUGCGUAACACGUGGAUAACCAACCCAUUGGUUUGGGACAACACCGGGAAACUGGUGCUAAUACCAGAUGUGUCGCAGCUGUCUUCAGGCGGUUGCGAGAAAGGCCCGCAAGGGUCGCCAACGGACGGGUCCGCGUCCCAUCAGCUAGUUGGUGAGGUAAUGGCUCACCAAGGCAAAGACGGGUAGCUGGUCUGAGAGGAUGAUCAGCCACACUGGAAUUGAGACACGGUCCAGACUCCUACGGGAGGCAGCAGUGGGGAAUAUUGCGCAAUGGGCGAAAGCCUGACGCAGCCACGCCGCGUGAGCGAUGAAGGUCUUCGGAUCGUAAAGCUCUGUGGGGGGAGAAGAAGAAAGCCGGUGAAGAGCCGGCCCUGACGGUAUCCCCUUAGCAAGCACCGGCUAACUCCGUGCCAGCAGCCGCGGUAAAGUCAG
rnacentral:rRNA from 1 species